CAGAACUUCAGCCAAUCGAGGCUGGCCACCGGGCGAGAGGCGGCGAUUCCGUCCAAUCGCGUCCCUCCGACAAUGGGGGCUCGCCCAAUCGCAGAGUGAAGCAGCCAAUAACGCCUCCAGGAGAAACAGCACUUCUGGCUUAGUUGCCGCAAGAUUAAUUGUACUUGUUGAGGGUGUGUCGUUUUGUGAGGACAUUUUAAAUGUGUGCACACACUGCUGCCCAACGAGAUUGUAAACCCUUCCUGGGCUCUGUGUCUUUUCUGGGCCCUCCCCCAGCCCUGUGCCUCACAUUCACAGAGCCCAGUUCUUCCAGCAGUACCUGUGGAAUGACGAGAAUGGUAUGCCUGCGAGUGGAAUUGCUGGGUCGUUAGGAUGAUUCUAUGAUUAGCUUUAUGAGGACCCACCAGACUGUUUUCUACAGCAGCCACACCGUUUGAAGUUCCCGCCAGUGCUGUAGGAGUGCUCCGAUAUCUCUCCAUCCCUGCAACACUUGUUACUGUCCGUCUUUUAGAUUAUAGCCAUCCUGGUGGGUAUGCAUUUGCAUCUCCUGGUGCUUUUGAUUUGCAUUUUCCAGGUAGCAAAUGCCACCGAGCAUCUUUUCAUGGGUGAAAAGAUGGUUGAUCAUUUGUGUAUCUUUGGAGAAAGCUGUUGUUCAAGUCCUUUGCCCAUUUCUUUAGUUUGUGGUUGAGUUGAAAGUGUUUUUGAUACAUUCUGGAGAUUAGACUCUUAUCAGGUAUCUGGUUGACAAAUCCUUCUCCCAUUCGGUCGGUUGUCUUCUCUCUUUCUUGAUACGGCUCACUGGAAAGGUGGACCUCGAUUCAGGGGUCCUGCCCUGGGUACAGAAAGGGAGCAGGUGGGAUGUCUGGCUGGUAUUUGCCAUCCCUGUCUUUUACUUGGCAGCCUCUGGGGAGAGCUGGCUCUUCCUUUCUUUCCUUUGCCUUCUCGAACUGCACCCCUCAAUAAUUUUUUGCUGCUUUUUUCUCAGCUGAAGUUGCAGAGUUUUCAAUCUUACCCUCAAUCUUCUUUUAUCCCCAGUCUUGGCUCUUUUCCUCUCCUCCUCCUCCGUGUCUCUCCCUCGGUGGGAAAAGGUGGGCAGAUUUUUUUUUUAAGAUUUUAUUUAUUUAUUUAUUUGAGAGAGGGAGAGAGAGAGAGAGAGACAGGACACAGAGGGAGAGGGAGAAGGAGACCCCCUGCUGAGCAGAGAGCCUGAUGUGGGACUUGAUAUCAGGUCCCCCGAGACCACCACAGGAGCCGAAGGCAGAUGCUCAACAGACUGAGCCACCCAGGCGCCCAUGGGGGCAGAUCUGUAAGAAUCUAGUGUGAUGUGGAGAAGGGGUGGCAGGGCUCUCAUCCUGCACUCUCCUUGUCAUCCGGCCCCUUGGAGGAGACUGUCUUUCGUCUCGGUGUGUUGGGUGCAGAGACUCAGAUGCUGCCCACUGUGGAGUGAGCCCCCAGGUCUGUGCCGGGCCCCCUGCUGUGCGCUCAGACCCACGGGUAUUUUUAGCUCAAGGCUCCCAUUCCUACUGGAAUGCACAUUCCCUGGGUUGGGGCCACUUUUUCAAUGGCUACCGGCCAGCCUGUGGGCCCCUCCCAGUGCCCAGAUACUCCCAUUUCCAGGCCUUUGUUCAAGCUGGCCCCUCCAUCUGGAAUGUUCAUGGCCAGUCUCCCCUGAUUAAACUCCUCUCUUCCUUCAAAGCCUGGCAUCAAAAACACCUGCACCAAGAAGGCACCCCCAGUCUCCCCAGCUGGAAUCCAUUUCUCCCUCUCCCUGGACUAUUAUUCCGCAACCCCCCCCCCACCAGUUAAGAUGACUGAAAUAGGGACUCACGCUCCCUCUCAUCAGUACGUUGCACUUUGGAGAACAGGUGCAGUGAAUAUGAAAGCAGGCCCUUCCAGGAAUCCUGAAACACAUGGUCACUCCACAAGUUGCAGGCCUCACGUUCCUGGAUCAUAUCGCAGGCUAGCUGUGGGCCUGUCACCCAGUGUCCUCCUGCGGGACUGGGGUGCGAGGAAGCCCCAGAUCAGGCCAGAACCAGGCCCUGAUGAUUCCGAUCCACCUCAGGCCAGUGCCCCGUAGGUGGUGAGAGCCGGAGAGGAUCAGUUUUUUCUUAUUGCAGUUUUGUUUUGUUUUUAAUGCCCCUUAAUUUGGGAGCUUCUAGAGUGCAGGGAUCAUGGAUUUCUCCUCUGGCCGUUUCUCCGCGCUCCGACUGGCCUGGCCGUGACGGGGCUCAGUAAGCCUUCUGUGCAGUUGGAUGGAAUGUCUUCAUUAGACAGGCUGGGUGGAGGUUUGGCUAAGGCACCGGGUGGGGGAAAGCAAGAGGUCCUGAGAACCUGAAAGCUUCUCGACAAAUAGUCCGCCAGGCAACCUUUCGCUCCCUGUGCACUUCCACUGCUCCUGCCCUCACUGGGGUUUAUUUCCCUUCCUCCUGGAGUCCGAGCUAGCCCUGUGACUCGCGCUGACCAACAGACUGCUGCAGAAGUGACACCUCAAAGAGGCCAGUCUGCUUCUGCCUCCACUCCUUGGGAAUCCAGCUGCCCCGCCUCUCUCUAGGAGAGAGACCACGUGAGAAUCCUAGAGGGUGAUGACACUUCAUGGAGGAAGGGACAGUGUGGCAGCACGACUGGCGCCCAUCAUCACCAGGUGGAGCAGAAGAACCAUCUCCAAACCCAUCAAAUGACGAGGAAUAACAAGUUGUUUUAAGCCAGUGGAUUUGGGGGCUGUUUCUCAAGCAGCAGUGGAUGACUGAGCAGGGACGCCAUUCUCUGAUGUGCCUGAGAAUAGGAAGAAAAGCCGUGGUAACAGAUGUGCACUCGGGACCUGCUAGGUGCCAGCUUGUGCUGAGAGCCAGUGCACAUCAUCUCAUUCCGUUUUCACAACAAACCUCCUCCCCGAUUUUCAGAAGCUCAGAGAGUUAGAGUCACUUGUCUAAAGACGCACAGGAAAUGAGGAUAGAGCCAAAAUCCAGGUCAGGUCAGUCUGACUCCAAAUCCUGCACUCUUUGCCAUGGCUCCGUGCUGGGGGCCAGCCCGGGGCAAGGGCACAGACCCAGUGCCUGCUUCUGGGUUUAUCCAGGCCGGGCCCCACCAAGGCGGUGAGCUGAGGUGAGCUUGGCUGGGCCUCUGUGUAUUGUGAAGCCAGUGUUGGUACGCAUGCCUACGUUGUGGACAACACUCAGGCUCCGAGUGGCUGGAGGGAGGCUUGCCUUGAAGCCAGGCAGGGGGAUCCCCAUGACAGGCCCCUGGGGCUGCCGCUGGACACUGUGCCUGGGCCAGCACUUGAAUGGCACCAAAAAGCCUGGAUGAGCAAAAGGCCUCUACUAACCACAGUGAUACGACAAGCAUCUGGCAACGAAGCAGUGGCAGA